GCCUUCCUGGCGUAGUGGUCAGCACGCUGGGCGCGUAUUCCAGAGGUCCGUGGUUCGAGUCCCGGCGAAGGCG
rfam:Stegodyphus mimosarum contig27162, whole genome shotgun sequence.